CCCUUAGAUGUUCUGGGCCGCACGCGCGCUACACUGAUUCAUGCGACAAGUUUUGUCCUUGGCUGAUAGGCCUGGGUAAUCUUUGAACGUGAAUCGUGAUGGGGAUAGAUGAUUGCAAUUAUUCAUCUUCAACGAGGAAUUCCUAGUAAACGCAAGUCAUCAGCUUGCAUUGAUUACGUCCCUGCCCUUUGUACACACCGCCCGUCGCACCUACCGAUUGAAUGGUCCGGUGAAAUCUUCGGAUCUGAGAGAUGUCUGAUUAAUUUCGGACGCCUUUUGGAAAAGUUGCUUAAACCUUACCAUUUAGAGGAAGGUGAAGUCGUAACA
rnacentral:rRNA from 1 species